rnacentral:rRNA from 1 species
AUGGCUCAGAUUGAACGCUGGCGGCAGGCCUAACACAUGCAAGUCGAACGGUAACAGGAAGCAGCUUGCUGCUUCGCUGACGAGUGGCGGACGGGUGAGUAAUGUCUGGGAAACUGCCUGAUGGAGGGGGAUAACUACUGGAAACGGUGGCUAAUACCGCAUAACGUCGCAAGACCAAAGAGGGGGACCUUCGGGCCUCUUGCCAUCAGAUGUGCCCAGAUGGGAUUAGCUUGUUGGUGAGGUAACGGCUCACCAAGGCGACGAUCCCUAGCUGGUCUGAGAGGAUGACCAGCCACACUGGAACUGAGACACGGUCCAGACUCCUACGGGAGGCAGCAGUGGGGAAUAUUGCACAAUGGGCGCAAGCCUGAUGCAGCCAUGCCGCGUGUAUGAAGAAGGCCUUCGGGUUGUAAAGUACUUUCAGCGGGGAGGAAGGUGUUGUGGUUAAUAACCGCAGCAAUUGACGUUACCCGCAGAAGAAGCACCGGCUAACUCCGUGCCAGCAGCCGCGGUAAUACGGAGGGUGCAAGCGUUAAUCGGAAUUACUGGGCGUAAAGCGCACGCAGGCGGUCUGUCAAGUCGGAUGUGAAAUCCCCGGGCUCAACCUGGGAACUGCAUUCGAAACUGGCAGGCUUGAGUCUUGUAGAGGGGGGUAGAAUUCCAGGUGUAGCGGUGAAAUGCGUAGAGAUCUGGAGGAAUACCGGUGGCGAAGGCGGCCCCCUGGACAAAGACUGACGCUCAGGUGCGAAAGCGUGGGGAGCAAACAGGAUUAGAUGCCCUGGUAGUCCACGCCGUAAACGAUGUCUACUUGGAGGUUGUGCCCUUGAGGCGUGGCUUCCGGAGCUAACGCGUUAAGUAGACCGCCUGGGGAGUACGGCCGCAAGGUUAAAACUCAAAUGAAUUGACGGGGGCCCGCACAAGCGGUGGAGCAUGUGGCUUAAUUCGAUGCAACGCGAAGAACCUUACCUGGUCUUGACAUCCACAGAAGAAUCCAGAGAUGGAUUUGUGCCUUCGGGAACUGUGAGACAGGUGCUGCAUGGCUGUCGUCAGCUCGUGUUGUGAAAUGUUGGGUAAAGUCCCGCAACGAGCGCAACCCUUAUCCUUUGUUGCCAGCGAUUAGGUCGGGAACUCAAAGGAGACUGCCAGUGAUAAACUGGAGGAAGGUGGGGAUGACGUCAAGUCAUCAUGGCCCUUACGACCAGGGCUACACACGUGCUACAAUGGCGCAUACAAAGAGAAGCGACCUCGCGAGAGCAAGCGGACCUCAUAAAGUGCGUCGUAGUCCGGAUUGGAGUCUGCAACUCGACUCCAUGAAGUCGGAAUCGCUAGUAAUCGUGGAUCAGAAUGCCACGGUGAAUACAUUCCCGGGCCUUGUACACACCGCCCGCCACACCAUGGGAGUGGGUUGCAAAAGAAGUAGGUAGCUUAACCUUCGGGAGGGCGCUUACCACUUUGUGAUUCAUGACUGGGGUGAAGUCGUAACAAGGUA